rnacentral:lncRNA from 1 species
AUUAUAUUUGGUGGCAACUUAGUUGUUGACUUUGAUCUGUAGCUAUUCAGGCUCCUUGUAGCUUAGCUAUUUGCAAAAACACUUUGCCUUUUUUAGACACCAGAGGAACAGUUAGGGUUCCUUAGCGCUGAGCCUGUGCAGUGAGUAACGUGCAGCUGAGAAGCAUAAGACUGACAGCAGUGUUCUCUUCCUUUGUAGUGUGCUGGAACCAAAAUUUGUCAGGGUCAAAGCAUAAUGAUCCUCCAGUUACAGUGCAAGAGUGUAUUCCACGAGUAAUAAUUUGGACCAAAGCAAAAGAGCUACAAUGCAGCAGAAGAACGCUCCACCUUCUUGGAGUCUUUUCCUUUGUCUUCCUGUUUCCUUAGUACAUUGUUGGCAUGCCGAGGCAAGACACUGCUUUUAUCUUAUGACUGAUGCAAAGCUUCACCAUUAUUUCCGGAUAAUACAGAUGGUAGUAGAAGACUACGUGCACCCCUGGUGCCAGAUGAGUCACUCAGAGAGCAUCUGUGGAGGAGGACACUUGAACAGAGAUAUAGCACACAAACACUGAUGUGCUAGUGACACAUUUGUGGAAAUGCUACAAUACAAACAAAAAAAAGCCUUACUAUUCCCUGGAAACAACUGUCGUGGUUGGCUCUUCUACAGAACGCUUAAUGGGAACUUGGGAAUUAUAAUAUGAAAAUGAAGAAGAAUUCAAUAAACUGGGGAAACCAGUCA